UACGUAGGGGGCAAGCGUUGUCCGGAAUCAUUGGGCGUAAAGCGCGUGUAGGCGGCUUGGUAAGUCUGCUCUGAAAGCCCGGGGCUCAACCCCGGGAGGCGGGUGGAUACUGUCAAGCUCGAGUCCGGAAGAGGAGUGUGGAAUUCCUGGUGUAGCGGUGAAAUGCGCAGAUAUCAGGAAGAACACCCGUGGCGAAAGCGGCUCUCUGGAACGGUACUGACGCUGAGACGCGAAAGCGUGGGGAGCGAACAGG
rnacentral:rRNA from 1 species